rnacentral:rRNA from 1 species
CCUACGGGCGGCAGCAGUGGGGAAUAUUGCACAAUGGGCGCAAGCCUGAUGCAGCCAUGCCGCGUGUGUGAAGAAGGCCUUCGGGUUGUAAAGCACUUUCAGCGGGGAGGAAGGCGGUGAGGUUAAUAACCUCAUCGAUUGACGUUACCCGCAGAAGAAGCACCGGCUAACUCCGUGCCAGCAGCCGCGGUAAUACGGAGGGUGCAAGCGUUAAUCGGAAUUACUGGGCGUAAAGCGCACGCAGGCGGUCUGUCAAGUCGGAUGUGAAAUCCCCGGGCGCAACCUGGGAACUGCAUUCGAAACUGGCAGGCUAGAGUCUUGUAGAGGGGGGUAGAAUUCCAGGUGUAGCGGUGAAAUGCGUAGAGAUCUGGAGGAAUACCGGUGGCGAAGGCGGCCCCCUGGACAAAGACUGACGCUCAGGUGCGAAAGCGUGGGGAGCAAACAGGAUUAGAUACCCUAGUAGUC